GGCUGGCCCAAAAGUUCAUUUGGGUUUUCAGCAUGCUGCUACAAGAAAACCCAAAUGAACUUUUUGGCCAACCCAAU
rnacentral:miRNA from 1 species